UGGGGAAUAUUGCACAAUGGGCGAAAGCCUGAUGCAGCGACGCCGCGUGAGGGAUGACGGCCUUCGGGUUGUAAACCUCUUUCAGCAGGGAAGAAGCGAAAAGUGACGGUACCUGCAGAAGAAGCGCCGGCUAACUACGUGCCAGCAGCCGCGGUAAUACGUAGGGCGCAAGCGUUGUCCGGAAUUAUUGGGCGUAAAGAGCUCGUAGGCGGUUAGUCGCGUCUGCUGUGAAAACUCGAGGCUCAACCUCGGGGCUUGCAGUGGGUACGGGCUGACUAGAGUGCGGUAGGGGGUGACUGGAAUUCCUGGUGUAGCGGUGGAAUGCGCAGAUAUCAGGAGGAACACCGAUGGCGAAGGCAGGUCACUGGGCCGCAACUGACGCUGAGGAGCGAAAGCAUGGGGAGCGAACAGGAUUAGAUAGCCCUGGUAGUCCAUGCCGUAAACGUUGGGCACUAGGU
rnacentral:rRNA from 1 species